UACGAAGGGGGCUAGCGUUGCUCGGAAUCACUGGGCGUAAAGCGCACGUAGGCGGAUCUUUAAGUCAGAGGUGAAAUCCCAAGGCUCAACCUUGGAACUGCCUUUGAUACUGGGGAUCUCGAGUCCGGAAGAGGCGAGUGGAAUUCCUGGUGUAGCGGUGAAAUGCGCAGAUAUCAGGAGGAACACCAAUGGCGAAGGCAGCUCGCUGGGACGGUACUGACGCUGAGACGCGAAAGCGUGGGGAGCAAACAGG
rnacentral:rRNA from 1 species